rnacentral:lncRNA from 1 species
CUCAGUUUUAAGUUUUUUCUCCUGCCUCAGCUUCCUGAGUAGCUGGGAUUACAGAUGUGCACCACCACAUCCGGCUAAUUUUUGCAUUGUUAGUAGAGAUGGGGUUUCGCCGUGUUGGCCAGGCUAGUCCUGAACUCCUGAUCUCAGGUGAUCUGCCCACCUCGGCCUCCUAAAGUGUUGGGAUUACAGGCAUGAGCCACUGCGCCC